rnacentral:tRNA from 1 species
GGGAAGGUGGCUCAGCGGUAAAGUGCUUGCCUUGCAUGCAUGAGGCCCUGGGUUCAAUUCCUCAGCACCCCA